rnacentral:rRNA from 1 species
UACGAAGGGGGCUAGCGUUGCUCGGAAUCACUGGGCGUAAAGCGCACGUAGGCGGAUUGCUAAGUCAGGGGUGAAAUCCUGGAGCUCAACUCCAGAACUGCCUUUGAUACUGGCGAUCUCGAGUCCGGGAGAGGUGAGUGGAGCUGCGAGUGUAGAGGUGAAAUUCGUAGAUAUUCGCAAGAACACCAGUGGCGAAGGCGGCUCACUGGCCCGGUACUGACGCUGAGGUGCGAAAGCGUGGGGAGCAAACAGG